UGUAGGCCAGGUUCAUUACAUUGUCUCUGUGUGUUCAUCGUGGUCUUCCUGCCAGGUAUAUGACAGUUAUAAUGUAGGCCAGGUUCAUGACAUUGUCUCUGUGUGUUCAUCGUGGUCUUCCUGCCAGGUUAUAAUGUAGGCCAGGUUCACGACAUUGUCUCUGUGUGUUCAUCAUGGUCUUCCUGCCAGGUUAUAAUGUAGGCCAGGAUCACAACAUUGUCUCUGUGUUCAUUGUGGUCUUCCUGCCAAGUAUUUGACAGUUAUAAUGUAGGCCAGGUUCACGACAUUGUCUCUGUGUUCAUUGUGGUCUUCCUGCCAGGUUAUAAUGUAGGCCAGGUUCACAACAUUGUCUAUGUGUGUUCAUUGUGGUCUUCCUGCCAGGUUAUAAUGUAGGCCAGGUUCACGACAUUGUCUCUGUGUUCAUUGUGGUCUUCCUGCCAGGUAUAUGACAGUUAUAAUGUAGGCCAGGUUCACAACAUUGUCUCUGUGUGUUCAUUGUGUUCUUCCUGACAGGUAUAUGACAGUCAUAACGUAGGCCAGGUUCACGACAUUGUCUCUGUGUUCAUUGUGGUCUUCCUGCCAGGUUAUAAUGUAGGCCAGGUUCACGACAUUGUCUAUGUGUGUUCAUCGUGGUCUUCCUGCCAGGUUAUAAUGUAGGCCAGGUUCACGACAUUGUCUCUGUGUUCAUUGUGGUCUUCCUGCCAGGUAUAUGACAGUUAUAAUGUAGGCCAGGUUCACGACAUUGUCUCUGUGUUCAUUGUGGUCUUCCUGCCAGGUUAUAAUAUAGGCCAGGUUCACGACAUUGUC